GCAGGUGGAGCGCCGACCUCCUGAUUCGGCAAAACUUUAACUGCCAACAACGACAGUUACGACUACGCCUUAGCUGCGUAAUCGCGUGGGACCGUCCCGCCGCCUUGAGGGACGGCUCCCGCGUCACAAUCAGGGCUGGCCAAUUCCCGGUUCCGGACGGGCUGCGGCGAGAACUUCCCGGAAUACGGACGGGCCGCCUGCCGGAAAGCCAAGCCCGCCCCGACAACUCAAUUCCCGGCUAAACCUGUAGACGCUUAUGUUUCGCGUGUUGGGACGCGGGUUCGACUCCCGCCACCUCCAUGU
rnacentral:tmRNA from 1 species